GGCUACACACGUGCUACAAUGGCGCAUACAAAGAGAAGCGACCUCGCGAGAGCAAGCGGACCUCAUAAAGUGCGUCGUAGUCCGGAUUGGAGUCUGCAACUCGACUCCAUGAAGUCGGAAUCGCUAGUAAUCGUGGAUCAGAAUGCCACGGUGAAUACGUUCCCGGGCCUUGUACACACCGCCCGUCACACCAUGGGAGUGGGUUGCAAAAGAAGUAGGUAGCUUAACCUUCGGGAGGGCGCUUACCACUUUGUGAUUCAUGACUGGGGUGAAGUCGUAACAAGGUAACCGUAGGGGAACCUGCGGUUGGAUCACCUCCUUA
rnacentral:rRNA from 1 species